UGGGGAAUAUUGNACAAUGGGCGCAAGCCUGAUCCAGCAAUACCGCGUGUGUGAAGAAGGCCYUAGGGUUGUAAAGCACUUUCAAUGGGGAGGAAAACCUGCCGGUCAAUACCCGGUAGCUUGACAUUACCUAUAGAAGAAGCACCGGCUAACUCCGUGCCAGCAGCCGCGGUAAUACGGAGGGUGCRAGCGUUAAUCGGAAUUACUGGGCGUAAAGCGUGCGUAGGCGGYUCGUUAAGUCAGAUGUGAAAGCCCCGGGCUYAACCUGGGAACUGCAUUUGAWACUGGCKRACUKGAGUUKAGUAGAGGUAAGUGGAAUUUCAGGUGUAGCGGUGAAAUGCGUAGAUAUCUGAAGGAACACCAGUGGCGAAGGCGACUUMCUGGACUCAAACUGACGCUGAGGUWCGAAAGCGUGGGUAGCAAACAGGAUUAGAUACCCUGGUAGUCCACGCCGUAAACGAUGUCAACUAGCCGUUGGUCYUAUUUACRRGAUUAGUGKCGCAGCUAACGCAUUAAGUUGACCGCCUGGGGAGUACGGCCGCAAGGUUA
rnacentral:rRNA from 1 species